UACGUAGGGUGCGAGCGUUAAUCGGAAUUACUGGGCGUAAAGCGUGCGCAGGCGGUUUUGUAAGUCCCGUGUGAAAUCCCCUCGGCUCAACUGAGGAACUGCACGGGAAACUGCCUGACUUGAGUUCGGGAGAGGGAAGCGGAAUUCCGGGUGUAGCGGUGAAAUGCGUAGAUAUCCGGAGGAACACCGGUGGCGAAGGCGGCUUCCUGGACCGACACUGACGCUGGAGGCGCGAAAGCCUAGGGGAGCAAACGGGG
rnacentral:rRNA from 1 species